GACGAACGCUGGCGGCGUGCUUAACACAUGCAAGUCGAGCGGUAAGGCCCUUUCGGGGGUACACGAGCGGCGAACGGGUGAGUAACACGUGGGUGACCUGCCCUCAGCUCUGGGAUAAGCCCGGGAAACUGGGUCUAAUACCGGAUAUGACUCCAUGACGCAUGUUGUGGGGUGGAAAGCCUUGUGCGGCUGAGGAUGGGCCCGCGGCCUAUCAGCUUGUUGGUGGGGUGAUGGCCACCAAGGCGACGACGGGUAGCCGGCCUGAGAGGGCGACCGGCCACACUGGGACUGAGACACGGCCCAGACUCCUACGGGAGGCAGCAGUGGGGAAUCUUGCGCAAUGGGCGAAAGCCUGACGCAGCGACGCCGCGUGA
rnacentral:rRNA from 1 species